UUUUCACUUACAAAGGCAUGUCCCACAUCUACCAUCUUAUAUUAGGGACACAGGGCUUGUCCAUACCCUUGUUCAGGAUAUAAGCUGGUUAGAUAACUAGAGUUGGGUGACCAUCAAUGUGACUGCACUGUACACGAAUAUUGAUCAUUCCUUGGGCCUUUCAUCAGACCCGUUACUCCCAGAGCAGUAGGCCGAUUUUAUUUUGAGGUUCACCGAGAUUAUCUUAAGGCAUAAAUAUUUUCAAUUUAAUAAAAAAAAAUUAUUUACGGACUAAAGGAAGCACGAUGGGGUAAGUUUCACUUCAUCCUUUGCAAAUUCAUGGGCUACUGGGAAAAGACCAUGGUCCUGGAUAGCCCGCAUUGGAUGGAGCAACUCGCCUUCUAUCGCAGGUUAAGUGACGAUAUUCUUAUCAGUUGGAGAGGUGAAUGGGGGGAGAUAGAUGAGUUUGUCUCUUAUUUAAACAUUUAAACAUGCAUGGGGCUUUUCUUUCAUGUUUACCAAACAUCACAGAGAGAUCAACUUUCUUGACCUUCCUUGAGAGGAAAGGAGAGGGGCAUUUGCACCAUAACCUAUCAAAAGAAGGUUGAUGUAAAC